AGAGUGUAGGGACGGCAGGUAGCCUAGUGGUUAGAGUGUAGAGGAGGUAGGGUAGCCUAGUGGUUAGAGUGUAGGGACGGCAGGUAGCCUAGUGGUUAGAGUGUAGGGGCGGCAGGUAGCCUAGUGGUUAGAGUGUAGGGACGGCAGGUAGACUAGUGGUUAGAGUGUAGGGGCGGCAGGUAGCCUAGUGGUUAGAGUGUAGGGGCGGCAGGUAGCCUAGUGGUUAGAGUGUAGGGGCGGCAGGUAGCCUAGUGGUUAGAGUGUAGGGGCGGCAGGUAGCCUAGUGGUUAGAGUGUAGGGGCGGCAGGUAGCCUAGUGGUUAGAGUGUAGGGACGGCAGGUAGACUAGUGGUUAGAGUGUAGGGACGGCAGGUAGACUAGUGGUUAGAGUGUAGGGACGGCAGGUAGCCUAGUGGUUAGAGUGUAGGUACGGCAGGUAGACUAGUGGUUAGAGUGUAGGGACGGCAGGUUGACUAGUGGUUAGAGUGUAGGGACGGCAGGUAGCCUAGUGGUUAGAGUGUAGGGACGGCAGGUAGACUAGUGGUUAGAGUGUAGGGACGGCAGGUAGCCUAGUGGUUAGAGUGUAGGGGCGGCAGGUAGCCUAGUGGUUAGAGUGUAGGUACGGCAGGUAGACUAGUGGUUAGAGUGUAGGGACGGCAGGUUGACUAGUGGUUAGAGUGUAGGGACGGCAGGUAGCCUAGUGGUUAGAGUGUAGGGACGGCAGGUAGACUAGUGGUUAGAGUGUAGGGACGGCAGGUAGCCUAGUGGUUAGAGUGUAGGGACGGCAGGUAGACUAGUGGUUAGAGUGUAGGGGCGGCAGGUAGCCUAGUGGUUAGAGUGUAGGGGCGGCAGGUAGCCUAGUGG